rnacentral:lncRNA from 1 species
UCCACAUUGUUUAAUAGAAAACAAUAAAAUACAUGAAUCUUAUGAAUGUCAGAGUAGCUUAAUACCUUUUUUAGUAAACUAUACAAAACAAAACAUAAAUAAUAUUAAAAACGAUGUAGUUAAUCAUUUAAAUCAGUAUUGUUCACAAUUUAUAAAAUCUUUACUUAUAUCACAUAAUGGUGUUUUAAAUAUAAAAAUAAAACAGGACUACAUAAUUAAAAGGUUUCUUCUAUUUUAUGAAUUAAAUGUGUUAAACAAAAAAAAUAGCAAAAUUAAAGAAAUAAAGAAAAUAAAAAAUGUAGAACAGGAAUGUACAAAAGAUGUGACAAAAGUAACACCACAAAAGCAAAUUAUUUUGUUAGAUUAUUGUGGUGUUAACAUGGGUAAACAUAUGCACUUAGGACAUUUAAAAUCUUUAUUUUUAGGAUAUUCGUUAAGUAAUUUUUUUUCGUUAUAAUAAUUAUAUUGUAAAAAAUAGAAGUCAUAUCGGAGAUUGGAAUUUAAAUAUAGCUACAAUAAUCACUUUUUUUAUUUUAUUUCCUAUACAUGAAAAUACUAAUGUUUUAAAUAAGUUUUAUCCACAUAGUUAUAUAAAUAAAAACAAAAUAUAUAAAAAAAGGGAAGAACAUACUAAUACCAACGAUUCUGAAAAACAGGAUGUUGGUAAUUCAUCUAUAAAUACAUACACAAACCAAGUUACUUGUAACAUUAAUUCAGACGCUCUUAAAAAAGACAAUAAUCAACAAUAUGAAGAAAUUGUUAAUUUUUAUUUGGACCUGUUAAAAAAAAUAAAUGAAGAUAAUUUUAAUAAUAAGUACAGAAAUUUCCUUAUGAGUAAGUAUGAACAAAAUAUAAAUGUUGAUACUAUUGAUUAUGUAUAUAAAAUAUCAAAACAACUUUAUUCGUUGUCAGAUGUUUUUCAAAAAUGUUGCAAAAUUAGUUUAUCAUUGAUGUAUGAAAGAAGCCAACAAAUUAUGAAUAUUUGGAAUAGCAUAUGUAGUAAAACAAAAAAGGAAAAUGAAGAAAUAUUUAAAACAUUUGGGAUCAAAAAGUUAAUAGAAAAGGGUGAACAUUUUUACGUAAAAUAUGUUCCUACCAUUUUAAAAAAAAUGAAAGUAGCAAAUAUCCUUUUUGAAUUUAAGGAUAAAUUAUUUGUUUUAUUAAAAGAAAAAAAUAUAAUGUGUGAACAAAAUAAAAACAGCUGUAAAAAUAACAGUAAUAGUAAUUAUGGCAGUAGUAAUUAUGAUAGUAGUAAUUAUGGCAGUAAUAGUAAUUGUGGUGGUAAUAUUAAGUACCAUAUUAAGAUGAGAGAAAAUGUACUUAGAAGUUUCGACGAAUUUUACGAUGUUGUACACGUUAACGAUGAGAAUUAUAAAAAUAUAACAAAAAAAGGAUAAUAACAUUGAUGUAUUGAAAGAUAAAUUUAUUAUAUUAACUUUAAAAA